rnacentral:rRNA from 1 species
GACGAACGCUGGCGGCGUGCUUAACACAUGCAAGUCGAACGGAAAGGCCCUGCUUUUGUGGGGUUCUCGAGUGGCGAACGGGUGAGUAACACGUGAGUAACCUGCCCUUGACUUUGGGAUAUCUUCAGGAAACUGGGGCUAAUACCGGAUAGGAGCUCCUGCUGCAUGGUGGGGGUUGGACAGUUUCGGCGGUGGUGGAUGGAUUCGCGGCUUAUCAGCUUGUUGGUGGAGUAGUGGCUUACCCAGGCUUUGACGGGUAGCCCGCCUGGGAGGUUGACCGGGGUCAUGGCGACUGAGAGACGGAGCAGACGCGUACGUGAGGCAACAGUGGAGAAUCUGGCACAACGGGCGGGAGUGUGUGGCAGAGAUCCCGCGUGCGGGAAGACGUCCUUCGUGGUGUGAACCGCUGUCGCCUGUGACGAAGCGUUAUUGACGGUAACGGGUAAAGAAGCACCGGCUAACUACGUG